CACCUGCUCUAGGAUGGGACUGCGGCCGAUCAGGCUGUUGGUGGGGUAAUGGCCCACCAAACCUGUAACCGGUACGGGCCUUGAGAGAGGGGGCCCGGAGAUGGACACUGAGAGAAGGGUCCAGGUCCUACGGGGCGCAGCAGGCGCGAAACCUUCGCAAUGCGCGAAAGCGUGACGAGGUUAAUCCGAGGUGGUUCCCGCUGAGGGAAUCUUUUGUUGGCUCUAAAAUGGCCAGUGAAUAAGGGGGAGGGCAAGUCUGGUGUCAGCCGCCGCGGUAAUACAAGCUUCCUCGAGUGGUCGGGGCCGAUUAUUGGGCCUAAACAUCCGUAGCCUGUUCUGUAGGUCUUCUGGUAAAUCCAACGGCUAACCGUGGGUCUGCAAAGAUACCGCAGGACUAGGAGGCGGAAAGGGGACGGUACUCACGUGU
rnacentral:rRNA from 1 species